GCCCGCCUAGCUCAGCUGGUUAGAGUCUCCGACUUUUACGCUUAUUCGUUGACAUCGGAUGGUCGCGGGUUCGAACCCCGCGGUGGGCU
rfam:Trichosporon asahii var. asahii CBS 8904 unplaced genomic scaffold scaffold00193, whole genome shotgun sequence.